AUCUGCCUGGUAGUGGGGGAUAACGUUCGGAAACGGACGCUAAUACCGCAUACGUCCUACGGGAGAAAGCAGGGGACCUUCGGGCCUUGCGCUAUCAGAUGAGCCUAGGUCGGAUUAGCUAGUUGGUGAGGUAAUGGCUCACCAAGGCGACGAUCCGUAACUGGUCUGAGAGGAUGAUCAGUCACACUGGAACUGAGACACGGUCCAGACUCCUACGGGAGGCAGCAGUGGGGAAUAUUGGACAAUGGGCGAAAGCCUGAUCCAGCCAUGCCGCGUGUGUGAAGAAGGUCUUCGGAUUGUAAAGCACUUUAAGUUGGGAGGAAGGGCAGUUACCUAAUACGUGAUUGUUUUGACGUUACCGACAGAAUAAGCACCGGCUAACUCUGUGCCAGCAGCCGCGGUAAUACAGAGGGUGCAAGCGUUAAUCGGAAUUACUGGGCGUAAAGCGCGCGUAGGUGGUUAGUUAAGUUGGAUGUGAAAUCCCCGGGCUCAACCUGGGAACUGCAUUCAAAACUGACUGACUAGAGUAUGGUAGAGGGUGGUGGAAUUUCCUGUGUAGCGGUGAAAUGCGUAGAUAUAGGAAGGAACACCAGUGGCGAAGGCGACCACCUGGACUGAUA
rnacentral:rRNA from 1 species